UUCCCUCUCUCGCAGCGCCCCUUCAGCGAAGUGGGAGGAGAAACGGAGCCCCUUCCAUUUCUCCUCCCGCUUUGCUGGAGAGGCACUGCGCAGAGAGGGA